rnacentral:rRNA from 1 species
AGCGUAGGUGGCGAGCGUUAUCCGGAUUUACUGGGCGUAAAGGGUGUGCAGGCGGGCUGUUAAGUGGUGUAUGAAAUAUCCCGGCUCAACCGGGAGAGGUUAUGCCAGACUGGCAGUCUAGAGAGCGAGAGAGGGACGUGGAAUUCCGGGUGUAGUGGUGAAAUGCGUAGAGAUCCGGAGGAACCCCAGAGGCGAAGGCGGCGUCCUGGCUCGCAUCUGACGCUCAGACACGACAGCAUGGGGAGCGAACGGG